rnacentral:rRNA from 1 species
CCUACGGGUGGCUGCAGUGAGGAAUAUUGGUCAAUGGGCGGAAGCCUGAACCAGCCAAGUCGCGUGAGGGAAUAAGGCCCUACGGGUCGUAAACCUCUUUUGCCGGGGAGCAAGGGCGGGGACGUGUCCCGGCCCGGAGAGUACCCGGAGAAAAAGCAUCGGCUAACUCCGUGCCAGCAGCCGCGGUAAUACGGAGGAUGCGAGCGUUAUCCGGAUUUAUUGGGUUUAAAGGGUGCGUAGGCUGUCGGAUAAGUUAGAGGUCAAAUGUCGGGGCUUAACCCCGUGCCUGCCUCUGAUACGGUUCGACUAGAGAGCGGAUGCAGCAGGCGGAAUGAGUAGUGUAGCGGUGAAAUGCUUAGAUAUUACUCAGAACACCGAUUGCGCAGGCAGCUUGCUAAUCCGCAUCUGACGCUGAUGCACGAAAGCGUGGGUAGCGAACAGGAUUAGAUACCCCUGUAGUC